GUAGGUAAGAACUCAGAAACAAUUUCAUGCUGAGGAGUUUAGUUUUUGUGUGCAAAGGAGGUAAGUUCAUUUUUGGAGGAGAAACAGAUUUUUGUUUCUGUCCUCCAAGAACAUGAAAAUCACGAGUACUUUUACAAGGUCUCUAUGGAUAGCCCAGUUGUCUGAAUAUGAAGUAAAAAAAUGCCCCUGGCAAUGGGAGAAGUCUGUCUGACUUGGAAGAGAAGGCAAAGUCAAUAGGACAAUUCUUCCCAACAGAAAACACAUGUGACUUUUCCCUAAGCCUUAGUUCUUUUAGGGCAGAGGGAUUUUAUGUCUCAAAACAAGUAACACUAUUCCUCCAACAAGGCAAAACUUUCUGAUGAACAAUUGCACAGAGGAUAUAAUCCUGCAUUUGAAAAACCUAGGAUAGUUCUCAUUCUUAUGGAAGUGCCCUUGGUCAAGGUCAUUUCUGCUUUUGUUAACUGUAAGUAGAGUUUAAGGAUUUUGUUUUAUGAAUGGUGGAGUAUCAUUUUGCCUACAAAGGACAUUAAAUAUUUUAGCCAGUCAGAUUAAUUGGUGCAUUUCAUUCCUCUCAGUGUAUUGUUUCCAACCAAUUGGUUCUUCUCAGUGCAGGGUUUCAAACUUUGAUUAUCAAUGGACAAAAUUCUUGAAGGGAUUUCUAGCAAUAUGAUGAACUAAAUUCCAAGAAGUCCUGUGUUCAGACAAUCUCUUGGUGUCAGUCCUCUGAUUCCUCCCUUUUUCCUGACCUUUCUCCAAGCUAUGUUCUUCUCCAUUCUUCACAUUGCUUAGAGACAUUCUCAAACCUAUGAGAUUUCUGGGGUCAAUGUUUGCUCUGAAACAGAAGCCAGGGCAAAUUUUUAAAAUUCCCAGAUCCUGCCAGAGAUAUAUGCAAACACCACAAUAUUCAAUAUAUGUUUAAUUAUGUUUAAUAUAUGGUCCAUUAUAGUAAAACUCAGGGAACAAAUGGUGCUGACACGGCAAAGACAUUCCUUUAAAUGGAGAAUCUCCUUUCAUAAAACCAAGACUUUGUCCUUAUGAUGGAGUGGAGACAAUAAAAAAUCUAGGUGUAUGAUUAAAUCUGUGAUGUGCCACAGGGAUCUGUUCCUGAAACUGACACUAAACUGAAUUAACUCCUGUUACUUUUCUCUUAUAUCUCUUGAAAUUAGCAUGCACUCCUCUAAAGCUUCCACUUAAAAAUGUGGCUGGCCCUUCAAUAUAGAGGGACGAUUUAUCAUCAAGGAUGAUAAGCUUUUAUUCCUGUACUAGAAAGAUCAAACUGUUAGAGAAAUUCCUGAUUGUCGAUGAAUCGAUGUUGCAUAGGAAUAUGGCUCACUUUCCCCAUAUUUCAGUAGCUACCUCCGUGAAUAAGAAUUUCUGUCCUUUGCCAGGAUCUGUCACAAAUACACUUACCCAUCCCCAAGCCCAAUGUGUCCUUCUGUUUCAUGUCUAAACUGCAAAAUCAUAAAAGGCUAGUGAUAAGCUUCUAAAAAAAAUAGAAUCCCCUGGAAGAGAUUAAAAAUGCUGCUCGUCAAAGAAAUCAUUACCUUCAAAGAUGAGACUCAUUGCAAAGAGCCUUCAAUCAAUAAAAUCUAUCAAGACAAAUUUCAGAUCUUUCCUUCCUUCCUUUCCCUCCUCCUUCCUUCCUCCCUUUCUCUUUCUUCCUGCUUUUCUUUCUUUCUUUCUCUAAUUCUCCCUUCCUAUCUUCCUUCCUCUCUUUCUUUCACUCUUCUUUCUUUUUUUUGAUUUACAGUUAUAAAGUUUCCUGUUUUAUAUUACAUGGCAGCCAUUUUCCAGGUUCCAAAACUUGGUGACGUACCAUAUUUUUCUCUGCUGAAAUGCAUUCAAUUAUGACCUCAAUAAUGAUCUUGUUCUCUUUGAUAGACUGAGCCACUUCCAAUGCCUCCUACAGUCUAAGUGAAAGCUAUCUUCCCGACAAAGAUAUCUACACAGAGAGCCAGCUCUCUCUGCAAGGCCUUUCCUAAGAAAAUCCUUCUGGUGUUGUGGUGAUGCCAAGCUUUGUGAAGCCAAAAGUGAGCAAGGAUGGUGGAAUAUAAUGCCAUUCCUGGAUAAUGAUGGACUGCUAUGAAUCGGUGCUGCAAAAACCAUCAGUGGAACGGAAAGGAGAUAAUGUGGGCAACCAAAUGAAGAAUUAGCCUAGAACACCAGGACAAAUAUCUGCAAAGGAGCACAAG
ensembl:lncRNA